UACGGGGGGGGCAAGCGUUGUUCGGAAUUACUGGGCGUAAAGGGCUUGUAGGUGGCCAACUAAGUCAGACGUGAAAUCCCUCGGCUUAACCGGGGAACUGCGUCUGAUACUGGAUGGCUAGAGUCUGGUAGGGGGAUCUGGAAUUCCUGGUGUAGCGGUGAAAUGCGUAGAUAUUGGGAAGAACACCGGUGGCGAAAGCGCCUUGCUGGACCUGCACUGACACUGAGGGACGAAAGCUAGGGGAGCGAAAGGG
rnacentral:rRNA from 1 species